AGCAGGGCUGUCUGUUUGCGUGGGGCUGUCUCCCUGUAAUGAGAACCACCGCUGGGAGCUGUUUAGACAAAACCGACUCAGCGCUCCGGAGCCGCGCGGGCCUCCAAAUGCAAAGGGGGACCCCGUGAAUGUGAAGAUAUUUGGAAAGUCUUCACCACAGAAUGUGAUUUCAGGAAUGAUGGAACAAUAAAUGAGAAGCUGGUAUUAAUAA